GACUACCGGGGUAUCUAAGCCUGUUUGCUCCCCACGCUUUCGCGCCUCAGUGUCAGUUACAGACCAGAAAGUCGCCUUCGCCACUGGUGUUCCUCCAAAUCUCUACGCAUUUCACCGCUACACUUGGAAUUCCACUUUCCUCUUCUGCACUCAAGUCUCCCAGUUUCCAAUGACCCUCCACGGUUGAGCCGUGGGCUUUCACAUCAGACUUAAGAAACCACCUGCGCGCGCUUUACGCCCAAUAAUUCCGGACAACGCUUGCCACCUACGUAUUACCGCGGCUGCUGGCACGUAGUUAGCCGUGGCUUUCUAAUAAGGUACCGUCAAGGUACAGCCAGUUACUACUGUACUUGUUCUUCCCUUACAACAGAGUUUUACGAUCCGAAAACCUUCUUCACUCACGCGGCGUUGCUCCAUCAGGCUUUCGCCCAUUGUGGAAGAUUCCCCACUGCAGCCGCCCGUAGG
rnacentral:rRNA from 1 species